AUUGAACGCUGGCGGCAGGCCUUACACAUGCAAGUCGAGCGACCGACGGAUGGGUGAGUAAUGUAUGGGGCCUGCCCGAUAGAGGGGGCUAACCACCGGAAACGGUAGUUAAGACCGCAUCCUAUCCGAUAACCCAUAUGGGAUUAGCUAGUAGGUGAGGUACUGGCCCACCUAGGCGACGAUCCCUAGCUGGUCUGAGAGGAGGAUCAGCAACACGGGGACUGAGACACGGCCCAGACUCCUACGGAGGCAGCAGUGGGGAAUGUUGCACAAUGGGGGCAAGCCUGAGGCAGCCAUGCCGCGUGUGUGAAGAAGGCCCUAGGGUUGUAAAGUACUUUCAGUCGGGAGGCGUUACCGACAGAAGAAGCACCGGCUAACUCCGUGCCAGCAGCCGCGGGAAUUC
rnacentral:rRNA from 1 species